rnacentral:rRNA from 1 species
GUUGACCUCGGAUCAGGUAGGAAUACCCGCUGAACUUAAGCAUAUCAAUAAGCGGAGGAAAAGAAACCAACAGGGAUUGCCUCAGUAACGGCGAGUGAAGCGGCAACAGCUCAAAUUUGAAAUCUGGCCCUAGGCCCGAGUUGUAAUUUGCAGAGGAUGCUUUUGGUGCGGUGCCUUCCAAGUUCCCUAGAACGGGACGCCAGAGAGGGUGAGAGCCCCGUACAGUUGGACACCAAGCCUUUGUAAAGCUCCUUCGACGAGUCGAGUAGUUUGGGAAUGCUGCUCAAAAUGGGAGGUAUAUUUCUUCUAAAGCUAAAUACCGGCCAGAGACCGAUAGCGCACAAGUAGAGUGAUCGAAAGAUGAAAAGCACUUUGAAAAGAGGGUUAAACAGCACGUGAAAUUGUUAAAAGGGAAGCGCUUGUGACCAGACUUGCGUCCGGUGAAUCACCCAGCUCUCGCGGCUGGGGCACUUCGCCGGCUCAGGCCAGCAUCAGCUCGCUGUCGGGGACAAAAGCUUCAGGAACGUAGCUCUCUUCGGGGAGUGUUAUAGCCUGUUGCAUAAUACCCUUCGGCGGGCUGAGGUACGCGCUCCGCAAGGUG